CUGAUUCUUUUCUGGUAAAGACAUGGUACAGUAAAGUGAAUACAUUUAGCUUUAAUGAACAAAUGUGCAUGCAGAGCAGUUACUUAUAAAACUUAGAAAGGAAAAUAUUCCCUUAAGCGCCGUGUGAAACUCCAUUACUCUGUUGCAUCAUUAAUGAAUGAUUUCUGCUUGGAAUUUACAUAAAUCAAAGGAACCGGAGCUCCUCUGUGCUCCCCGUUCAGUAUAACCUCUGAAUACACAUGCAUAUUUCAUGCUUACUAAAAGAUUAACAGGAACAUUUGUAAAGAUCGAUUUAAAACAUGGCGCCUUCUGGUAUUUUUAGUGCAAUUCAUGAACAUGAGCAAAGACGUAACACGUGAAAAGAAGAACGAGUGCAGAGCAUGGUGUGUUUCGGCUCAAACCUGCAGGGGCAGGGUAUACUUUUAUUUAAACAUAGGUCAAGUCAGAACCUCCUGGUAGAGGCAACCAGGUUUUGAGCUGAAAUAUCCUUCUAGUGGAGUAUCAGAUGCUUUGCCUUGUACGCAGUCCCCUCUUU
ensembl:lncRNA